CCUACGGGAGGCAGCAGUGAGGAAUAUUGGUCAAUGGACGAGAGUCUGAACCAGCCAAGUAGCGUGAAGGAUGACUGUCCUAUGGGUUGUAAACUUCUUUUAUAUGGGAAUAAAAUGUUCCACGUGUGGGUUUUUGUAUGUACCAUAUGAAUAAGGAUCGGCUAACUCCGUGCCAGCAGCCGCGGUAAUACGGAGGAUCCGAGCGUUAUCCGGAUUUAUUGGGUUUAAAGGGAGCGUAGGUGGAUUGUUAAGUCAGUUGUGAAAGUUUGCGGCUCAACCGUAAAAUUGCAGUUGAAACUGGCAGUCUUGAGUACAGUAGAGGUGGGCGGAAUUCGUGGUGUAGCGGUGAAAUGCUUAGAUAUCACGAAGAACUCCGAUUGCGAAGGCAGCUCACUGGACUGCAACUGACACUGAGGCUCGAAAGUGUGGGUAUCAAACAGGAUUAGAUACCCCUGUAGUC
rnacentral:rRNA from 1 species